UUAACGAUCUUAACCUCGAAGUUAACAAUCACGAUGAUCAUCGAAAUUACUUGUGUCCAUCUAUGCAUUGGCUUGGCAAGAAAGUAAUUUCGGUUUGCACCAAUAGAUAGCGUUACGGCAACCGUCUUCGUCGUUUAUGCUUUCGGACAUCUUUCUCUGUAUUUUCGUCCCGAUUCUCUCGCGCGAUUACUCUUCACGAGUUCUCGCGCUGUCGCCCUUUAUCACCGUUUAAUACCUUCUUUCUGUUUAUCUUUUGGGUCCGGAGAUCUUAUCGGGUUGGCAAGAAACUCUGGUAGUUGACACUUUUAGGUUAAUAUAGAAACAAAUUCCGCGCAGUUUUGUUUACAAUAAUGGGAAGCGAUGUGCCAUCGGAUUAUCCUUUAUUUCGAACUUCAUUCUUUAAACGGUAAAAAUUUCAAUAAUAACGACAGCCUCGAAUCGCACUUGAUCGAGUAUUUACCGAUAAGCACCAGAAGUUUUACGAACGCGGAACACCAUGAAGAUCGCGAACGAGAGGAACGAAACGCGGGCGGCGUUUCUCCUGCGACGAUCAAUCUUAUUUUCGUCGAAAGCCGGGCGGAAGGAGUCCGCGCACAGCCUUGUUUCGAAGAAAUCUGGACACGAAACGGGGACACCGGGAUAUCCGGCGAGCGCGCGAUAAAAUUGGAAACACGGAGGCGCGGUUUUCGCGGAAAAAUUCCGGCGUUCCCUUCGAUUACCGAACACACGCGACCACCCCUCGGGGCUUGCCGGAAACUUUGUUCCUUGAAGCGGAAAACGAAACAGAAAACAAAACAACGCCGAACAAAACAGGAAAGCCACACGACCGUGGCGAAACAAAUGAACACAGCCAGCGGCCCAGCGUGCCGAUACACCGAGCUCGAUCGAAUUCCAUUACUGCGCCUCCGCCGCGACCGUUUAUUAAAGCUAAUAAAGUGACCAACUCGCGCUCAUAGAGCUGUGUGCAACGUACAUACAACCCCCGAUAGUCGAGCUAGCAGGAGAAGCAGAGCCGCCCCGUCGAGCGCCCCGUUCUCGAAAAACGAACGAAAUUGUAAUACGCAGCUAUGGCGGCGAUGCAUUCUUCCGGGUCGCGGGGGGAAGGAUUAAUCCCGUUACGCUCUGUGAAAUUUCUAGGAACGUUAAGCCAUCCGUUAAUGAGAGUUCGUGCCUUGUAGUUCCUCUGGGCGAGAGAGCCAUACGUCCUUACGAUCUCUAAUAACCAGAGCCCAGAAAUUAAUCCCCAGGGAAAAUAAACGCAUGCAACGGUCUCGCAGGGUUCCGCUAUCACGCAACUUUUAUUAUUAUUACGCCGGUGUCGGUCGUCUGCUGUUCUAACGUUCUUACACGGAGAAUUCCCCUUUAUCCGAACUGGCUCCUGGAAACGGAUGAUACGGAUUCGACAAAUUUCAGUGUUUUAGAGUUACCCCAGUCUUGAUGGUUUUAGAGAAGCUAGAACGAGAUCGCUUGUUGAAACGUUUUCUCUGUGGGAAUUAGGCUCUGUUUUUGCUCUAACGAUGACUUAUUAUUAUUUAUUUAGAAUUAAC